ACUACUACUUACGUUUAUGCAAAAAUGGCUUCUCCAAAGAUGUUGGUUUUCUUGUUGAUGGUCGCGACGCUUUUGUGCCACGAAGUAAACGGCGAGCACAUGGGGCAGCUUGCAGACAAGGAGGAAAUGAUCGAUUUUGAUGCGAGUGGGGCACGACUUCACCACGUAAAAAUCGACGAUGAUGCCGACAUUCUAGCUUCCGACAGGGAUAUACUAGGAUAAUAGACUCCGAGUAUAUCACAUGGAAACUUAUGUUGAAAAUAUUAUAAUAACAUAAGCACACUUUUGGGUUUUUUAUUUUAAAAUAAAUAUUUAUAAUAA